CUUCUGUAGCACUAAAGUGCUUAUAGUGCAGGUAGUGUGUCGUCAUCUACUGCAUUACGAGCACUUACAGUACUGCCAGCU
rnacentral:pre_miRNA from 14 species